rnacentral:rRNA from 1 species
AGCGAACGCUGGCGGCAGGCUUAACACAUGCAAGUCGAGCGGGCACUUUCGGGUGUCAGCGGCGGACGGGUGAGUAACGCGUGGGAACGUGCCCUCUGGUUCGGAAUAACUCAGGGAAACUUGAGCUAAUACCGGAUACGCCCUUUUGGGGAAAGGCUUGCUGCCGGAGGAUCGGCCCGCGUCUGAUUAGCUAGUUGGUGAGGUAACGGCUCACCAAGGCGACGAUCAGUAGCUGGUCUGAGAGGAUGAUCAGCCACACUGGGACUGAGACACGGCCCAGACUCCUACGGGAGGCAGCAGUGGGGAAUAUUGGACAAUGGGCGCAAGCCUGAUCCAGCCAUGCCGCGUGAGUGAUGAAGGCCUUAGGGUUGUAAAGCUCUUUUAUCCGGGACGAUAUGACGGUACCGGAGGAAUAAGCCCCGGCUAACUUCGUG